rnacentral:rRNA from 1 species
AUUGAACGCUGGCAGCAGGCCUAACACAUGCAAGUCGAACGAGUGGCGGACGGGUGAGUAAUGUCUGGGAAACUGCCUGAUGGAGGGGGAUAACUACUGGAAACGGUAGCUACUACCGCAUACCAUCGGAUGUGCCCAGAUGGGAUUAGCUAGUAGGUGGGGUAAAGGCUCACCUAGGCGCCGAUCCCUAGCUGGUUUGAGAGGAUGACCAGCCAAACUGGGACUGAGACACGGGCCAGACUCCGACGGGAGGCAGCAGUGGGGAAUAUUGGACAAUGGGGGAAAGCCUGAUGCAGCCAUGCCGCGUGUAUGAAGAAGGCCUUCGGGUUGUAAAGUACUUUCAGCGGGGAGGCGGUACCUGCAGAAGAAGCACCGGCUAACUCCGUGCCAGCAGCCGCGGUAAUAC